CCCUGGUUGUUCCUCGGGAGCAGGGAUCCGGUCAACACGACCCUGAACUUCACACGAAGGGUGGAUUUGCUUUUCAUGAAGUUGAGCUGCCUGCUUGUGUAAGAGACCUUCUGUUCUUUGCAUCGAUACUGAGUCGGCCAGCAUCAGCCACCGUAUACUGCAACAGACAACAUCCACAUCCGCAGAGAAAUGGGAGAAGUUGCUUUAAUAAUUAAGAAGAAUAUAAUAGUUUGUAAAGGCUAGAGUGGCAGUAAACAAAUGCCAUAACAUUUAACUCCCCCUCAGGCCCCCUCUCCCCCAACCAGUAUCUGUAAACCGUGGAGGAAGGAACUGCAGACGCUGGUUUCUACCAGAUAGACACAAAAUGGGUGACGUUUUCGGGUAAGAACCCUGUGCAAAAAAGGGUUCUGAAUCGAAACAUAAUUUACUUCUUUUCUGUAGAGAUGCUGCUUGACCCGUUGAGUUACUCCUGCAUUUGAUGUUUAUCUGCAGUAAACCGUGGGCUGAUUUUGUGCACUAAAAUCAGUCUUUAAUAUGGGAUCUGUUGAUAGUUUGCUGUGGCAAAUUGUGACAUAACUGGGCAGCACAGUGACACAGCGGUAGAGCACCAGAGGCCCGGGUUUGCUGCUGUCUGUACGGAGUUUGCACAUUCUCGGGUGCUGUCUGUACAGAGUUUGUACAAUCUUGUACAAUCAGUUUGAACAAAUAAACCACAGCUGUUUCCUCCUCUGGACCUGUCCACCAUCCAAUUGCAAUGUAUUUGAUAAAAAAUAAUUGAUCUGUGUCCUGGCAUCAUCCCCUGCAUUUCUUUCUGUAGCUAUUAAAGCAUCUGCCUUAGUAAAAGUCCAGCAAUCACUUGCUUUGUCCUUUCUCAUGGUAAUCAGGUUGGGGCUUUAAUGCUCCAUCUUUAUGUUCUUGAUCUUUCAAAAACACAGAGACAUUGCCUCAGUUUACUGUCUCUCAUGUAGGGAAGAAUCCCCAGAAGCCUGGGAUUUGCUCGGCACUGCAAGGGGAUGGACAUCAUGUCCAAGGAAGGCGAUGGCUGAAGGCUCGCAGCAGCCUGGGGCUCACCUGGACCGGGCACUGCUCGUAUCAACUAGAGCAUGGUCUGGACUCUGAAAAUGGCACCAAAACACGUUGAAUAGAAGCACCAUUGAACCAUUGAUGUGUCACCUUGCAAGGGGGUGAUUUAAGUUAUCUGCAAUACAGUGAAUACGGUUCCCAAAUGGUCACAGAAGAAACAGAUUCAGUGAGUCUGUCUGGAGAAGGGUCCUAACCCAAAACGUCAUCUGUCCAUCCCAUCCACCUGAUACUACCUGACCAAGGCUAUCCACGGACCAGGGAAUGGAAUAAUGUCCACAGAUUGGGAACCCACCUGUAGGGCCCGGCUCGCCCGCUCUAAGAGGAAGUAAGCACUUCGGCUGCGACAGGGAUUGCACUACCUUGACGGUGGAGUGGGCCACUGGAGGCCCUGGAACAGCCUGGGGCUCAGCUGGACUAGGCGCCAUCCAAGAGGCCAAACAUUGGGACCAGACGCGACCUACAGCGGUGAAGGCUACCAGGGCUACGCUUGGCCAGGCCCGCCUUGCAACGUCGCCAGGAUAACGGGCCUUCAUGGUAAGGUCAAGACAACUGCAUUUACAACAACUGGGACUUGAACAUGGCACCAGAAACUGGUGUCACUCUAAACUGCCUCAGUGUACGCUAUACACUACUGUAUCUGAGAUGCUUAUCUAAGAUGUAUCUUGGUGCUGAUGUAUAGUAUACUUGUAUUGAACUGUAUACAAAAA